rfam:Pseudomonas sp. EGD-AK9 Contig_144, whole genome shotgun sequence.
CCUCGGCGAUCCCACCGCCUGCCCGAUUCCCGGCCACGGCACCAACCCGAUCGCCGCCGGCUCGCCCGACGU